rnacentral:rRNA from 1 species
AGGGAAAGAGGGAGGAAGGAAGAAAAAAGGAAAGUAGAGUGGAUGAAGGGAGCUUGCUCCUGGAUUCAGCGGCGGACGGGUGAGUAAUGCCUAGGAAUCUGCCUGGUAGUGGGGGAUAACGUCCGGAAACGGGCGCUAAUACCGCAUACGUCCUGAGGGAGAAAGUGGGGGAUCUUCGGACCUCACGCUAUCAGAUGAGCCUAGGUCGGAUUAGCUAGUUGGUGGGGUAAAGGCCUACCAAGGCGACGAUCCGUAACUGGUCUGAGAGGAUGAUCAGUCACACUGGAACUGAGACACGGUCCAGACUCCUACGGGAGGCAGCAGUGGGGAAUAUUGGACAAUGGGCGAAAGCCUGAUCCAGCCAUGCCGCGUGUGUGAAGAAGGUCUUCGGAUUGUAAAGCACUUUAAGUUGGGAGGAAGGGCAGUAAGUUAAUACCUUGCUGUUUUGACGUUACCAACAGAAUAAGCACCGGCUAACUUCGUA